AAACCAUGGGCACCCUUGGGUCCCUUGGGGUCACUAUGUUACACCUGCUUUUUAUCUGUCUGGGCAAGAGCUGCUCAAGCCACACCUUGUGACACUGAGGUGAAAAGGCAGGUCGGGUGAAGAAGAGCAGGAUGUUUCAUUUUUAUCAAGCAUCACCUGAUUCAAAAUGUAGCCACUGAAAAGAAGCCAUCGUUUUUGGCCUGCGUCUCUGAGGAUAAGAUAGUGCCAGCCUCAGGAGGACAACGUCAGAAACCAAAAGCUCCUCUGCCCAGGGAUGGGGACCCGCCGACUUCAAGGGCAGAACAGAUCAGCUAUGAAAAUACCCAGCCGGCCUGCAGCCCUCCCGGCAGAUGCUGAAAAGGAAACCCGACUGGGAGAUGCCGCCCACCCUUAUCCCCAGAGAGCUGCGUUGUUUCCUCUUGCCUUGGCCUUUGGAUCCGGCCAUAGCAAGCAUCCCUGGGCACCUGGCUGAAGCUGGAAACUCGGGAUAAGAAUGGAAGCCCUGGAAGGGAAGAAGAACCGAGGAGAGGACAGCACAUUGCACUCUCACCUCCUUUGCAGUUAAGUGUGAAAUAGUGCCAAUAGAGUGUAAAAGAAAAGAAAGAAGAUGAUUCACCUCCCAAAGAUUCCCCACUGCUGUGUCCCUUCUAUCAACUUGAUACAAAAAAACACAAUGGCCCCGGGAACCACGUGUUGAAGAUGAGAGAGCUAAAAGAUGGAAAGAGACUGGAGCCCUGAGUCACCACCUGGAGGAAAACUACCCACCCAUCAGGAAUUUCUACUACACAUUUGGGAGUUUUUGGGGUUACAGCAGCUAAUUUAACGAAAACACCCAGAGACAAGAGCUAUUACUGCACAAAUUGGUUAAGUUACCUUUUUGUAUGUUUGGGUCCUCUCUAUUCGAUGAGACUGCGCGUUCCUUUGAAGCAAAUCUGUUUAAAAUUCUUAUAUCCCCAGAGGGCCUAGCAGAGAGUAUGCACAGAGUGAGCCUUCAGUAAAUGCUGAGUAAAUAAGCUCCUAAUGGA
rnacentral:lncRNA from 1 species